rnacentral:misc_RNA from 1 species
CAACUACGUAACAUAAAGAACAUUUGAAUUAAUAACCAAUCAACUACGUAACAUAAAGAAAACAUUUGAAUUGAAAUAUAUGAUUGUUCAUUCAUGACUGUUAUCUCAAAGUCGAACCAUUCUCGCAGUUUUGCUAUAACUCAUGUUCACUCGUAAACAACCAGGUUGUAAAGAUCAAAUAUCAAAAUGCAAAACUUCAAAUAGCCCAUUCGUCACCAUCCAACAAGUAGAAGUUUCAAAAGCGUCAUUCGAAUAUAGAGACCAUUCUUUGCUUGUCUAAAAUAUGCAGCCCUUGGAUCCGCAUCGACAUCCACAGUUAUCUCAUCAAGCCUCGGGAGAGGAUGCAUGACCACAGCAUGUUUUUGCAUCACAUUUAACACUUCACGAUCCACAAUGUAUUUGCCUCGAGCUUCUUCAUAAAGGUCAAUUCUCUCUCCAAACCUUUCUCGCUGAAUGCGAGUUUGAUAUACAACAUCACACUUUGAAGCCACUUCCAUUAAAUCAGCACUUUCUUCCCAUUUAACACCCUUUGAUGUCAAAUAGUCUUUUAUAUCAUCCUGAGUACAAAUCAUUAAAUAAGGAACUAUAACCUAAAUUUCCAGAUAUUUUUCUAUGCCAUGUUUGGAUGCAAUGGCUUGAACUAAAACAUUUGGAUUUAGUUUUAGUUUAAAUUAUUUGAAUGACAAUUGACUCAGUUUGAUGGUUAGACUUGAAAAUGAAUCCCAUACUCAUGAAUGUCACCAAAAACUCAUUUGAAGUGAAUUUCAAAGAUAAGAUAUUUCAAAUACAUAUAAGGUUUUCUUCACAUUUAUGAAUCUUAAAUAAAUUUAAUGAGUCAAAUUAAUUAAAGAAAAUCUAUGCAUUAUAACAUUCAGAAUAGAAGAAUCUAGUAAAAAAGAAGCUUAUCUGUCCUUUUCAGAAGAAAUUAGUUCUAUUACCUUCAUUUUUACCACAUCAGGGGAGACAAAAUAGAUAGUCACAUCUUGGUAUUUGGCAAGCAAGUAUGCAAGAGAGCGAACUGUCCUCCCAUUGGCAAGAUCCCCCACAAGUGCAACUCUAAUGCUAUCCAAUUUACCUAUCUCUCGAUCAAUGGUAUACACAUCUAAAAGAGCCUGAGUUGGAUGUUGUCCAGGACCAUCCCCUGCAUUAAUAAUAGGAAUACUAGCAGUAACUGCAGCUCUUCUUGCGGCCCCACUUUCAAAAUGACGCAUAACAAUGAUGUCUGAAUACCCUUCAAUAGUUCUAAUGGUAUCUUCAAGUGUCUCUCCCUUGGCAGCUGAUGAAAAUUCCCUUGCAUUUUCAGUAGUCAAAACCUCACCUCCUAAACGUUUCAUGGCAGACUCAAAAGAAAGCCUAGUACGAGUAGACGGCUCAUAAAAAAGGGUAGCCAUGAGAUAACCCUUAAGAAUUUGACAACCAGGAGAAUUCUUCUCAAUCUUCUCCAUCUCUCGUGCAACUUCAAAUAUAAUACUUAGAAUUUCUCUGUCGAACUGCUGUGCCUCAAUCACAUCAUCAAGUUGAAAUUUCUUUCCAAUUGAAAAUGAAGGGGUACUUUCAAUUUCCAAUGUACUACACCGAAUUCCAUUCCUCAUUGAAAGCCUUAAUCCGGCAAAAACAGAGACUGGCUUUGGACAAAAGGCUUGUUUACUAAAUAGAUUUGAAUAAUUGCACAUUAACCCAGUACAGAACUUCAUGGGCAUGAAAGAGAUUGAAUGCUCAUUCAAUAAGCCGGUGGAAAACAAAGUAGAGACAGCCAUUAACAAUAGAUUACAACCCGUCCAAUGUAACAGACGUAGGGAGGUGAGAUGAGAGCAUACGAAUCUGAGUACAGUGAGAGAGAGCCGAUUGCAGAUUCUUAGUUUGAUUGUUUGUUUAGCUGGCGAGAGAACGAUAGGGUUUUAGAAGAAAGAGAAAAAGCG